CUCCCAGCUGCGCGGUCCCGGCUGGAGGAAGGUGCCGGCCUGUAGGGCACGCACGUGGCUCGUGCAUCACCGCCCACAAAGCGACGUGCUUCCUCCGCUCCCGGGCAACUGGAGCACCCCUCGCCUGCAGUGCAGCCGGCCUUGGGCCGUGGCAAGCGCUGGCACCGGUUCUGCAGCAAUGUGGAACUGAUGAGCUGCCGGCAGUGCUUCCUUGGAACGCAGCCCACAGAGCUCCCACGUGGGGUUGGGAGCGCAUUUCUCACGGGGGUCUGAAUGCUCCCUACAAAGGAAAGGUUACCGUCCUGUCUCCAUUUGGUCCUUUUUUAACAGCGUGUUCCCAGACGGGCAGAUGACGAGCAGGGAGAAACUCAAUGACAUCCUGAGCUGCUGCUGUGAGUGGGUUCUGUGGGAACCCGCACUGUGUGCCCAGCAGGGCUGGGGUCCGAGGAGCGUUGGUUAUACAGAGGUUGAGUUAAAAGGACAGGAGUCGGUAACUAACAGUGGAGUGCUUGAUGUUACGGCUGUGAUUUAAAGCACACCCGCCCAGUUCUGCUUCCUUGAUGUCACCAGGCAGGAUCUGAGCGCUGGGGAGCGGCGCUGCUGACGUCCUUCCAGCUGCUAAAUAUAAUGCAUGGGAACAAAGGCAGACACGCUGAGAAUUGCUUGGGAUCGUUUUCUCCUGGAAUCAGCAGCAACGGAGCGUCACAGUGAACGUGCAGAAAGCUGUGCUGUUUGUUUGCACUGCGGCUUUUAAACCUUCGGGGCCUCGUGGUUCAGAGCUGCUAUUCCGUUCCGUUGUUCAGCCUUCCCAGCCAGCACUUUCUCCCCUUGCUCUGCAGCCUGCGAGGAGUGCUGUGGGUUCAGUUUUCCCACUGAAGGACACUGCAUUAAAACCAAAGACCCAUUCAAGCAGUGUCAGCACACAGGUGUGCUUAGCAGGAUGGAUGUUCAGUAACCUCCAUGGAUGCUCCAUGGCAGCCUGCUUCUCCCCCUCACCACUAUGCAGGCUGAGCCGAACACCAACCUUACGUGGCACACUCAGAGCCAUACUGAUGUGUUACACAGGUACUGAGAAGAGGCUGCUAACAACUUCAAAACAAGUUUAUUUCUUAAAUCCGUGUUGUACAAUUUAAAGCCAAAAAAAAAAAAAAAAGUCACACAAAACACAAAUAAAAAACGUUGACAAAGUAUCAGGCGUUACCUUAUAAAGAACAUCAUCAUACACUCUCACAAACCUGAAGAUACGUGUUACUGGGCUGAGGUUUCUUGAAAUCUAUUGAGACACUACACACAAACGCUGCAACAGUAAGGAAGCCAUGACAACAGCAAGGACUAUGCUAAGCAACUUCAACAGUGUGGGGGCUUUUUUCUGGGUUUUUUUUUGUUUUGUUUUGUUUUUUUGCAUUCCUUGUUGUCUACAAAGCAAUAAAUAUUUUCCACCAAAAAAAAGUUGGUUUCACGCUACAUGCACUUAGAUAAAAA
ensembl:lncRNA